rnacentral:rRNA from 1 species
ACUCCUACGGGAGGCAGCAGUGGGGAAUAUUGCACAAUGGGCGCAAGCCUGAUGCAGCCAUGCCGCGUGUGUGAAGAAGGCCUUCGGGUUGUAAAGCACUUUCAGUCGUGAGGAAGGUAGUGUAGUUAAUAGCUGCAUUAUUUGUACGUUAGCGACAGAAGAAGCACCGGCUAACUCCGUGCCAGCAGCCGCGGUAAUACGGAGGGUGCGAGCGUUAAUCGGAAUUACUGGGCGUAAAGCGCAUGCAGGUGGUUUGUUAAGUCAGAUGUGAAAGCCCGGGGCUCAACCUCGGAAUAGCAUUUGAAACUGGCAGACUAGAGUACUGUAGAGGGGGGUUAGAAUUUCAGGUGUAGCGGUGAAAUGCGUAGAGAUCUGAAGGAAUACCGGUGGCGAAGGCGGCCCCUGGACAGAUACUGACACUCAGAUGCGAAAGCGUGGGAGCAAACAGGAUUAGAUACCCCUGGUAGACUGUCA